GCCGUCGGUUCAGAAGAUAGCGUUUUCGAAAUGCCCCGUGUUGACCUAAUGUCUUCUUGGACUCUUGUCUGCAGGGUUUACGCGCACGUUGGAAUCGAAGAGAGCUCUAUGUUACAAUGUUUAGCCCACAAGAGGUCACUGGUGAAGGAAUGGGACAAGACCCAUCUUUCUGCAAAGCCAGCGCUACAGUAAUGUUCCAGCAUCUCAUAAUCUGUCUUGAGGAAUUCAGCUGCCUCCCUGGGUGAAUACAGCUAUUCCUCAUGACAGUCUGCCUCUAUCUUACAGAGCAGCUUGUUGCUAUAUACCAUUGAAAAACCUUCAGACCUGGGAGGUGUUAUUAACCAAUAACCUCUUUGGCUCUAAGGGCCAGCACCUUCUCUCUAGCACUCAAGAGGAGUUUGAGGAAAACUAGGUGUUACUGUUCACUCGACUGAAGUUACAGGUCUGAGUAAAGAACAAGGUGCAUAAAAAAUGGAAUCUGUCUUGGAGGACAUCAGAAGGUGAAUUUUCCAAGUCCUUGGAUAACCAACCUAGCUGUUGAAGUUACCACAGCAUAUUUUAGUCGUCUUAAUGGCGUGGCUGCUUUUUUUUUAAGCUUUACUGUGAAUCAUGCCUUUGGGUGGGUCUGCCUGGGCACAAGGAAGUGACCCCCUGAGAGUUUGCUAUUUUUACCUGGGUUUUACCCAGCUUGCUUAGGCAGUCUGUCUAAUGCUGCAUUUCCUACUCCGAGGCAGCACUCAAGGAGCCUAAUUUAUCAGCACACUUUAGAGACUUUUUCCCUAGAUGUACCCCACUGAAGGAAUUUUAAAUGAAAAGCUUGCUGGGUUUAGGGGGUCUUUUAAUGUUAGCAGACGCUGGGAGCCAAUGAAACAGUUGAGGGUUUGCUGUGUGUCCAUGUUUCUGUAUUUUAUCACCCCCUUCCUGCAACAUUAUUUCUGUGGAAUCUACCUGCCCUUUUGUUUUUUAGAUACAAGGGCUUGGUUUUACUACCAAGGCUGAGCUCAAGGCCCCAGCCUUAAGAGAUCCUCCCACCACAGAUUUCCAAAGUGCUCGGAUUGUAGGUGUGAUUCAUGGCACCCAGACUUUGCUGCCUUUCUUAAAUGAUCCAGGCUCAGAACCAAAACUCAGGCACUGCAUAGAUGGCCAGUUUGGCAAACUACUGACCUAGCUUGUUACCAAUUGUUGAUUGAGCUUCCCAUAACUCCAUUUCUGUUCCUCUGUAUACAGCCACCUUCUAUUCCCAUCAUGAGCCUUUAGGUCUCUAUUUGCAUGUUGCAAAUACUAUGUGCCAUGUAGGUAGCUCAUUCAGGGCCUUGCUCUAAACUACAAAAAAGGUUCCCUUGAGUGGCUGUCAAUUUGUGUUGCUGUAUUGGUUGUUGAUGAAAAUAAUAAAAUGAUUGGUUACAUAGUCCUGUUU